AUAAAAUGGGAAAUAUUAAAACAACUGCCUUCAACAUCCUAAAUAAUAGUUUGUUUUCUUUCUAAAAUAAAUGAAUUUGGACUACAAGCCAGUUUCAAGAGCAUAAAAAACAUUAAUGCUCCAUUAGGGUAAUUCAUCAGUACAUGCUUAACAGACUGAGUAUAAUGAAAACAAAACAAAACAAAACAAACAAAAAAAACAAAGCGCACACACACACACAUCAGAAAUAUUUUAAAAACCUCACAGUAUUAAAAAGUACAUUUUAAAAGGGGAUUCGCUUGUUUUAUAGACUAAAAUUAAUAAAUUAUAGCAAUUGAGUCUCAUCUACUUUAUGCUACUACUGAGAAUUAAAGGAGCAGGAAAAGUAAUCUAGAGUAAGUGAACGGGGCAAGCAAAAAAAGUGAAGGCAGGCAUGUGCUUCUGACCUCAGAUGAACUGCAAAUGCAUAAACUGUGCAGUCUUAUGAAAUGCUGAACACUUCCAGGAUCCAACAAAACCCUGCCUUUUGCUUUAUGCUUUUGACUAGCUGCUAUCAACGAAGGACAAACUAUAUUAACUGCUCACUCUAGAAUACAGCUCCCCACUCUGCAGUAUAUCGCUUAUUAGUUGCUUGAGCAGCUGCUUCUCUCCUUGAUCCACUGUUGCAGCUGUGGGACAGGACAAGUGAAAGAGAAACUGUCUUUUUGCCCUGGUAUGGUUGUUCCUCGUCAUUUCUGCCUUUCGAGGAGUGAGCUCCAGGGUCAUGGGUUGCCCUUCGGGAAGCUUUUGUUUCCUGCGUCACAAUAUUUACUUGAAGUUGACAAGUCCAUCUUUUCAGCAGAAGGGGGAAAACCAUGAACAUUUAAAGAAUACAGUUUUCUCUUCCAACUGUCUUUUGCUUACUGGUCCGUAUAGAAAAUGUUUAUUGUCAUUUUAAAGUGCAUAUGAACUCUUCAAAAAGAAAAGCCCUAUGCACUUUAUCUCCAGCUCCAGAAGCAGUUCAGCUCUCCUAAUUUGCUGAAAUGACAGAACUGAUGGACACAAUAGCUUCACUAGGCUGGUCUUUCCAUUGGAAACCAAUGAAAGUCUUUGCAUUAUCAUCAAUGACCUUUGGAUCAUUCUCAAAAAAAAAAAAAAAAAAAGGGUGUUUUUACAAAUCAUUCCAAGCUAAAUAAUGACUUUAGACCAGAACAUCACUGAGAUCAGGAUGAUUUAAAUUUUCACUUUAAAUUGGAAUAUUAUCUUAAAUUUAAUUACAUAUUUUUUCAUUAAAAUAUUACUUUAAUUAGUGAGAUGUGUAUUGAUUACUUUUGGAAAAACAAAAUUUCCACCUAAUGAAUAGUUUUAUGAUCUUAUGCAUUGUAUCAAAUUCAAAAAGUGUCAGUGUUUAAGAAUCUUUUGUUCUAUUUAAAUUGUAAACUUUUAUUUAAAAAAUAAAUGAAAAGUGUUACAGCUGAAAUAUAUAUAU
rnacentral:lncRNA from 1 species